UCUCAGUGAUGUAAUUUCAAUAGAUCCAUCUGACCCUCCACUGUAGAACAGCCAGGAGGGUGGUGACUGAGAGA
rnacentral:snoRNA from 1 species